ACGUGAUGAAAGUCACCAGGUAGCUGGUGAGAGUGAUCCCUGCUGCAGAGCAGAGCCUAGCAUGCUACAGCCCCAGAGCAGUUCCCUUGCCAGCAGCUCAGUGGCAGAAAGGUUUUCCCUGGCUUGGAAAGCAGCAUAUAGCCUGGUUUGACACAGCCCAUGGUAGCAGGCUGCUCUUGCCCCUCUUCCAAGGCUGGCAGCACUCCCCAAGGCAAUGGAGUGCAGUGGGGGGGUACAGCAGUGUCCUGUGGCUGCAGCACUCAGGUGUGCUGGGGCCCUGCACAGCCCCCUGUGCUCAUCAGCACGUGGGCUCACCUGGCUUGAAAGGCCACCUGGUUUUGUUGUAUUACUUCCACCAUGCUAUAAACCCUCUGAUCCUUGCCUGGAGCCUGGGGAAAGUGACCUGGAGUUCAAUUUCUCAUUUUCAUUGGAAGAUCUUACAGCCACUCUGAGCUCCUGCACCACUGCAAUCUGCUGUGCAGAGGCAAUGACAGUGAGUGUGCUUCAUCCCUUGGGGUUUGCUGGGGUUAGAGGCCAACUGACCAAGUGUGAGCACUUUGGGAAGCUCCCGCUGGUAGCAGAGGCUCUGCCCUUUGGCAGGAGCUGAUAACCCUUGGCCAGCUGGCUAGCACUUGCCAUUAAUACUCUGCCUGCAGUCUGGUGCAAUCUUAUCCCCAUACCAAACCAAAUACUUUUGGGAAGUGUCAUCUCUAAGUUGUUCAUCUGUUUCUGAGAAGAGGGCUUGGGAAAGAGCUGCUUAGUCAUUUAAAAAUGCUACAGUUCCACCAGCCACCUUAUCUGGGAAGUUCUCUGCCUCUUGGUUGUUUGAGAGGAGGGGUGGGGAGUGUUUUGAAACUUUGGGGGAAGUGAUGUUUGUGGUGAGUGUGCUGUUGAGGAGCCCUGAUAAAAAUCCACUGCUCACCAAGUAAAGCUGUGAAAUCAAAAUAGAAAUUAAGAGCAGAGGAUAAAUGGCUGGAGACUAGGAUUAGGAAUGAUGCAGGGGCAUGCUGCAUGGCAGAAGGGUCUGCCCCAUGUGUGAAAGGCUGCCCCAAGCAUUCUAGCUCUCUUUUGCUGUCACCUGGCCACAAAGGAAUUUGGUAACGUGGUACCUGCUGCUGCUGGGCCUCUGAGGAGAAAGCAGCUCUUGCUGUUGGUUCUGCCAUGUUCUGCCUUUCCAGCCUGGGGAAACUUAGAGCUGGUCAUAGUGGCAGCAGCAGUCACUGGUCAGCUCAUCUCUGGGAAGGGACCAUCAGCUUCAUUAAGAACUGGCUUUGUCAUGUGGUUUUGAGAUCCUUCAGAAGGAAAGGGUCUGAGGCUGAUUUUGGGAUGCAGGAGACAUUUUGUGUGGUCUUCAUGGUCACAGGCUGUGUCUUCCAGAAGGAGUGCAUGGAUGGAAGAUGCUCACUAGCUAACUGUAUUAAUCCUGCUAUGUCCUUGUUCACCAAGACCAAACUUCAUUUUCUCACAAGCUUCUCUGGGGUUCUUAUUACUGUGACAUCCAAGCACUUCACAAACAGUAACUGAAUUUUACAGCCUCUUUUAGAGAGGACAGGUGUCAACUUUGUCCAGUAUGGAUUAAAGAUAAUUUGUUAAAAAAUUA